AAAAAAGUACCAGCAUGUUAAAAAUGACAUAGUUUUAGAUAAAUGUGUUUGAUUUUAACAAAAGUGAAAAACCUUUUUAAUACAUACAACCUAUCCAAGAAGUAUUUAACUCAGUUAAGUCAUUGAUGGUGUCCUCUCGAUAGUGUUAACCUGAAAUUAAAUGUAAAACAACACUAAAUCACAGAGAUUGGCUGGGAUAUAACAAAAAAAAUGGUAUGAUUAUAAGAUUAUGCAGCCUAACCUCCAAUCCAACAGAAACCAGAAUGAAAGGAGAUCUUUAGAUGUUAAUGAGUAGACACAUCGAAGUAGACAAAUGGGUUGCUCUUUCUCAUCUUCUUUGUAUUUGGGACUAAUCAAUCCAAGAUUCCUCAAAAGCACUCUUUCGGCGUACUACAUGUUUAAAGAGAAAAUGGUUUAAUAGACAGAUAAGUAUAGCAUAAUAUGGACAAAAAAUAUUACAACCAUUGAUAUGUUAAAAUUAUUUAUACAAAAACUAUGCAGCAACAUAGGGCAUCACGUGUUGUUAAAUGUGUUAUCAGGAGAGAGGUUAGAGGGACAGGGUAGGCUUACCUCAUAUCGGAGAGUAAGAAUUGAUGGAAAGUUGUACGAAUAAAUGCAUAAUCUUGAUGAAUUGAAUAUGGCUGAAAGCAUU
rnacentral:lncRNA from 1 species